UGGGGAAUUUUGGACAAUGGGGGCAACCCUGAUCCAGCAAUGCCGCGUGAGUGAAGAAGGCCUUCGGGUUGUAAAGCUCUUUUGUCAGGGAAGAAACGGUAGUAGCGAAUAACUAUUACUAAUGACGGUACCUGAAGAAUAAGCACCGGCUAACUACGUGCCAGCAGCCGCGGUAAUACGUAGGGUGCAAGCGUUAAUCGGAAUUACUGGGCGUAAAGCGUGCGCAGGCGGUUGUGUAAGUCAGAUGUGAAAUCCCCGGGCUCAACCUGGGAAUUGCAUUUGAGACUGCACGGCUAGAGUGUGUCAGAGGGGGGUAGAAUUCCACGUGUAGCAGUGAAAUGCGUAGAUAUGUGGAGGAAUACCGAUGGCGAAGGCAGCCCCCUGGGAUAACACUGACGCUCAUGCACGAAAGCGUGGGGAGCAAACAGGAUUAGAUACCCACGUAGUCCCUG
rnacentral:rRNA from 1 species